UACGUAGGGAGCGAGCGUUGUCCGGAUUUAUUGGGCGUAAAGAGCGUGUAGGCGGUCCGGUAAGUCAGCUGUGAAAGUCAAGGGCUCAACCCUUGAAAGCCGGUUGAUACUGUCGGGCUAGAGUCCGGAAGAGGCGAGUGGAAUUCCUGGUGUAGCGGUGGAAUGCGCAGAUAUCAGGAGGAACACCGAUGGCGAAGGCAGCUCGCUGGGACGGUACUGACGCUGAGGCGCGAAAGCGUGGGGAGCGAACAGG
rnacentral:rRNA from 1 species